rnacentral:rRNA from 1 species
UACGAAGGGGGCUAGCGUUGUUCGGAAUUACUGGGCGUAAAGCGCACGUAGGCGGCUUUGUAAGUUAGAGGUGAAAGCCCGGGGCUCAACUCCGGAAUUGCCUUUAAGACUGCAUCGCUAGAAUUGUGGAGAGGUAAGUGGAAUUCCGAGUGUAGAGGUGAAAUUCGUAGAUAUUCGGAAGAACACCAGUGGCAAAGGCGACUUACUGGACACAUAUUGACGCUGAGGUGCGAAAGCGUGGGGAGCAAACAGG